rnacentral:rRNA from 1 species
GUCUUAUUGAUAAUAAUUUUAAGUCAAUCUCUGCCCAAUGAUUUAAUUAAAUGGCUGCAGUAUAAUUGACUGUACAAAGGUAGCAUAAUCAGUUGAUUUUUAAAUGGAAUCUGGAAUGAAAGGAUUAAUGAAAUAUAUACUGUCUCAUAUAUAUCAUAUGAAUUUAAAAUUUUAAUAAAAAUGUUAAAAUUUUUUUUUGGGACGAUAAGACCCUAUAGAAUUUUAUAUAAAAUAAAUUUUAUAUUAAUAUAAAAUUUAUUUUAUAUUUGGUUGGGAGAAUUAUUAAAUUAAAAAAAUUUUAAUUUUUAUAAACUUGAAUUAAAGAAAAUUUAUUGAUUUAAAAUUUUUAAUUAUUAGAGUAAAUUACCUUAGGGAUAACAGCGUAAUAUUUUUUUAUAGAUCUUAUAGAAAAAAAUGAUUGCGACCUCGAUGUUGAAUUAAGAUAAAUUUUAAAUGUAGAAGUUUAAUAAUUAAGUCUGUUCGACUUUUAAAAUCUUACAUGAUUUGAGUUCAAAUCGACGUAAGU